GACGAACGCUGGCGGCGUGCUCAACACAUGCAAGUCGAGCGGUAAGGCUCCUUCGGGAGUACACGAGCGGCGAACGGGUGAGUAACACGUGAGUAAUCUGCCCCGCACUUCGGGAUAAGCGCCGGAAACGGCGUCUAAUACCGAAUACGACCAGCCUUCGCAUGAGGUGCUGGUGGAAAGUCUGAUCGGUGCGGGAUGUGCUCGCGGCCUAUUAGCUUGUUGGUGAGGUAACGGCUCACCAAGGCUUCGACGGGUAGCCGGCCUGAGAGGGUGACCGGCCACACUGGGACUGAGACACGGCCCAGACUCCUACGGGAGGCAGCAGUGGGGAAUAUUGGACAAUGGGCGAAAGCCUGAUCCAGCAACGCCGCGUGAGGGAUGACGGCCUUCGGGUUGUAAACCUCUUUCAGUAUCGACGAAGCGCCUUUAACGGUGGUGACGGUAGAUACAGAAGAAGGACCGGCCAACUACGUGCCAGCCGCCGCAGUAA
rnacentral:rRNA from 1 species